rnacentral:siRNA from 1 species
CUGGUCAACAAAGAAAUGCAAGAC